rnacentral:rRNA from 1 species
GGCUUAUUGAUAAUAAUUUUAAGUCUAACCUGCCCCCUGAGGAGUUAAAUGGCCGCGGUAUUCUGACCGUGCAAAGGUAGCAUAAUCAUUAGUUUUUUAAUUGAAAGCUGGAAUGAAGGGUUUGAUGAAAAAAGCUCUGUCUCUAUGAAAAUUUAUUAGAAUUUUAUUUUUAAGUAAAAAAGCUUAAAUAUAUAUAGAAGACGAGAAGACCCUAUAGAGUUUUAUAUAAACUUAGGAAAUUAGGCUUUAGGAAUUUAUAGUUUGUUUUUUAAAUUUGUAUUUAGUUGGGGUGACAAAAAAAUUAAUAAAACUUUUUUUGUAUUUUAACAUUAAUUUAUGAAUACUUGAUCCUGAAAUUCAGAUUAAAAGAUUAAAUUACCUUAGGGAUAACAGCGUAAUUUUUUUGAGAGUUCUUAUCGAAAAAAAAGAUUGCGACCUCGAUGUUGGAUUAAAAUUAAUUAUUGGUGUAGGAGCUAAUAAAUUAGGUCUGUUCGACCUUUAAAAUUUUACAUGAUCUGAGUUUAAACCGGUGUGAG